rnacentral:rRNA from 1 species
AUGGACACGGAGAUGCCCACCACGUUCCUGGCCGACGCAACCGGCGUCGAGGAGUCCGUGGCCAGGUUCAUCGACAAGCUCAACAAGCAGAUAUUCCAGGCGGAGGACGCUCUCACCGAAGGCUACGACAAGCUCAGGCUGUCGGCGUACGACACUCUCGGGGCCUACAGGAAGGCGAUAAGGGGAGUCGCUGGUAGCCUCACGUCCUCGGUGGCAGCCACCAAGAAGCAGGCCACUAGUGGGGUCUCGGACGUUUCCGGUGCAUUUCAGGAUAAGGUGGCCGGAGCUGGUGCCGUGGCGACUGAUGUUCAAUUUUUGUAG